UACGGAGGAUCCGAGCGUUAUCCGGAUUUAUUGGGUUUAAAGGGUGCGUAGGCGGGCUUUUAAGUCAGCGGUAAAAAUUCGGGGCUCAACCCCGUCCGGCCGUUGAAACUGGGGGCCUUGAGUGGGCGAGAAGAAGGCGGAAUGCGUGGUGUAGCGGUGAAAUGCAUAGAUAUCACGCAGAACCCCGGUUGCGAAGGCAGCCUUCCGGCGCCCUACUGACGCUGAGGCACGAAAGUGCGGGGAUCGAACAGG
rnacentral:rRNA from 1 species